GCAUUGGUGGUGCAGUGGUGAGCACGGCUGCCUUCCGAGCAGUUGGCCUGGGUUCGCUUCCCGGCCAGUGCA